AUCUUCUCCCCCUCCCUCUGCGUGCUCGGAAACCUUGAGCUGCACCGGCCGGGGCAGUAGUGCUGGGCUCUUCCGAGGGGGCUGUUGCAGUUGCCUCGGUUGCAGUGAAUUAUUUGGGGCUCCGGGGAAGGAGAUGCAGCUCGCGGCGGCGGCUGUACCCUUUCGUGUAACCUUGCUGCUCCCCCCGCCGAGCCCCAUCUCGGCUCCUCGCACCCCCCCCCCCAGCCCACCCCCUUUCUUUUUGACAAUUAAAUGCCCGUCACAAUUGGGCAGGAGGAACCCGAGUGGUCUCUAGACCUGUAAGACACCCCCGUAAUUAGUGCGCUUUUGUAAAAAAAAACAAAAACAAAACAACAACAAACCUGCUCCUACUCCUACUGCCAACAUGUGACUGAAAUGUAACUUUUGUUCCGGAGGGGUGGUCUCCUUAGGAAAAAAAAAAAAAGUGCAUCUCCAACGGGAGCCGAAGAACUUUUUUUUUUUUUUUUUUCCCUUAAAGGACUCCCGGGGUCAGAUCAGACUGGAUUUUUUCCCCCCUCCUCUGAUUGUAAUUUCAAGCACUGUCGGAAAGACAGCCCUGGUGUCAGCUUUUCCUGGGCAUUUGCACAAUGAAUUUCGUUCUUUCUUUUUUAAACCAAGGUAAUUAAAGUUGCCGAGUGGUUAUUGUACUCCGAUGCAUAGGAGAGUUGAGUAAUCCCAAAGUAGAAAACUCCUGUGAUGCAUUAUCUGAGUGACCAGGCAAAGUGACCUUCCCUGUUUGACAGUGCGGGGAGGGUAUCUGAGAGUAGAAAUCUCCCGGCUUUCUGGUGGUGUUUUGCAGCAUUGUAAAUGCAGGAUGGUGGAUGUUUGCAAACACGGUGUUUGGUUCCAGUAUACGUGCAUGUGUAUGUAUCGAUAUCUGUAGAGCCGGUGGUGCUGUGGUUUGUUGCUUCUAAAAAGUUGUAAAGUUUGCCACCGUGAGGAGGCAAGAUGAUUUGUCCAUUUCCCCCAAUUAUUUUUCCCGUCGCCGCAUUUAUUGAACACUUUAUUUAUUUCACGAUUCCAUCCGUCCCCCAGGUGGAAGAGCCUUCUGCUUCUGCCGGAGGCUGAAGCCACCGAAGUUUGUUUGUUUUUGGCUUGGGCCGUUUAAUAUGUGCUCAUUGAGUGGACACUGCAGAAACAAUGAACAAAUAACCUGUUUUCCUCAUCUGUGGGGAAUUAGAGAAACCUUUCCUGUUUUAACAUGGCUUUUCCAUUAGGGUCUGUUUAAAGGAAACAGUAUUUUAUUAUAUUUGCUUGCUAGGUUUUCAUAAUCAUACUCAGAUUUUAGUGUUUCUUAUCAGGUGAGAUUUUCAUGGAUUUUAAGAUAGGGCUAAUGUGAACUUAAAAAGUGGGUUGGGUUUCUUUGUUUUUGCCUCACAGGAAUGCCCAGUGGAACUUUUGUGUUUGUGUAUACCUGGGGUUAUCCGUAUGUCUGUGGUGAAGGGGGUGUCCCAGUAAAUAAUUUAAGCUACUUGUAUACUUCAAAACUAGUUUCUUUUGCUGUAUAAAUUAGAUUCUACAGUGAGCACGGUAUGGAUUAUCUGUUUGGACGCUUCACAACACAAACAGAGGGAACUGCAUAAUAGGGAUUAAAUCAGUAAAUUGUAUUUAAUUCGAUGGCAGUAACUCUGGCAUCAGGAAAACCGGACCAGCUACGGGGUCCUCAUUUUCGGGUGACCGCAACAAAAAGCUAUCCUUUCUGUGACUUUUCUUGAUACUUCUUUUAAAGGGACUGCAUAUCCCCACCGUUCUUAUGGGCUGAUUUAUGUGCGUGCAUAAAUCAGAAAACUCCUACUGAGUGGCUGGUUCCGUUGUACUCCAGUGGGAAGAGUACAACAGCCCUUUCCUUGCUCAGACAUGCAGAACCAGUCCCAAACCCAGACAAAAUACCGUCUUAAAUGUGACAUAAAAAUUUCUUCCCUUAUUGCUUACCCUCAGUUUGUUUGUUUGCUUUUUUUUUUUUUUUAGGUGCCUCUUUUCGUGACUUUGUAUUUCCAUGUAAUUGAGCUAGAUUGAAUGUUCUCCACUAGUAAUGAAGUAUCACUUUUAUUUGGAUGGUUCUUCACGGAGCCAGAUUAUGACUGUUCUGUUUGCUGAGACCGUGCAUAUGUUUAGGUGCACAUAGGUGAGGUGUAUUUUUUCCAAGGAGUUUGCUUAAUUCACUGUGUUCCAAUAACAAGUGCUGCAGAUCAAGGCCUGGGGAUUAUUCCGGGUCAUCUGAAAAUGUUCUGGUGAUGUGUGCAGUGUUUCAUUUAGUCCUUGGGAUGUGGUACAGUGACUGCAUAAUCAAAAAUGUUUGCUGGUAACCCGCAAGCAAGUACCGGGAUUGCUUUUAGAGCCCAGUAAACAAUAAACUUUUCUGCAGAGCAGAGAAGGAAUGUCAGAAGCUGUCAAGGAUGACCUGAUGAAUCUGAUGGAUUGAAGACAUGUGACACGGAAGCGUGGCUCUAGGUGGAGAGAUUUCCCUUACUCGUCCACUCCACUCCUGAAACCUUCCUCCCUUGCUCCUCCUGUUCCUUACAAGCAGCUGGUCAGCAAGCGGUAAACUCAGCAGCUGGUGUGAUGGCACACAGAGGCAGCCACGGAGGGAAGUGCUUAGUUUACUUCUGAGUAGUGUCUGUUCUACUAGAAAAGACCAGUGUACCAUUUGGGUGCAAUUUCUAAGGUGAAAGUUUUUGAAUCAGUCAAUCAGCGACACCUUUGUAUGUAUCACUUGUGUGGCAGUGGGUGACGUUGGAUGCCCGAUUAAGCGCUUUUAUAUUUCUUUGGCGUUUUAUAGGCAUCUUUCCGUCACAUAGGGAGGUGACUUUCAGAUGCGCAUUGUACAGGAGAAGACAGGUUGACUAGCCCAAGGUCACCCAGACUGUCGCGGAGCACCCACCGUUUCUCUGCACCGAGCUGCCCCACGCGUGGAGUGACACUCUGGUCCAAGAGUUUAAAUGCUUCCCUUCCUGAUCAUUGGGAUUGUUCAAAUGUAAGGACGGGGCAACCAACUAUAUAAAAAGUCAAAUAACUUUUUUUCAGAGGAUUGUGUGGCUGACUGCGCCGGUCAUGGGAAGAAGGAAGGAAGAGGCUGUCUUUUCCAUCAUCAGCCUUCACCUUCAAAUCACCUGUUCAGUGUUAAGUUCAGCCAGCUUGCUGUGGAACGUGGCUAUGGCCCAGCAGACAUAGUCCUUCAUGUCUUGGUAGGCUGUUUUAGUCGUGAGGGCCAUCCAGGUUACCAAAACUAGUGGUAUAACUUCCUCUUCCCCUUUUCACUGCCCUCCCUACUUGUCUCUACUCUCCAAUAUGGUUGGCUUUCUUGGCAGAAAGAAAUCUUUUUUCUUUUUUUUUGCUACUAACUUGGAUGGAUGGAUGGAUGGAUGGAUGGAUGGAUAGAUAGAUAGAGUGAGUGAGUGAGUGAGUCCAGGUUUCCCCUACCGGACUCUGAGCUCCUUGGGUUUAGCGAUCAUUGUCUUUGUAUCCUGCUACCUAGCUUGGCACCUGGCAUAGACAUGUUUCUCAGUAAUGUUUGCUGAUUUGAAGUGAGGCAUGGGAGGAGGUCAUUGCCCUUUCUUCUGUUUGUCCCUGUGUACCAAAGGCUGACUUAACACCUGCAUCCAUUAGCUUGCGUCAAGUAUUUAAUAGAGACACACUGCUCUCUCAGGGAGGCCUACAACACUCUCUGGGUGUCGGUCCAAAAAUGAUUAUCAGUAGAAUUUUGGUAUAAUAAUACUAUGUUUAUCAUUUUGGUAAAGUUAAACAAAAACGUUUGUGUCUAAACAGACAAAGGAAUUGAGUAAAAGAUCAUAAAAGGGCCUGAAGAAUUACCUUAGAAUCACGUUAGGCUCAGAUUCGCAGGCUUCUAAGUUUCCCCCAGUCUCUCGGACAAUUGAAUCGGGGAACGUUCAGGCUUUCAGAGCUGGAAGACCUUAGAGAUCACUUGGGCCAGCCUCUUAUUUUCAUAGGGAGGGGCUCCAGAGAACGCAGUGGCUUGGCUUUAGCUAAUUGGUGACCGAGCCAGGUUGAGAGCAGCGCAGGCCGUGUUCUCAGGCCCCUGCCUUGCAUUUGCUGGGUUCAUGGUGCAUCCCUAUAAAAGGCCAAGGACAUUCGAUACAAUAGGCUGCACUCUCUCCGGCACUUCCUAGCUUGGUCCAUUUUAAUCCCAAGCCAGCUGGUAUGAGGGCACGGAGGUAUGUGCCAAGGAAGAUGUGUGUGGGGGGGAAGCCCUGGGCCCAGAGGGUGUAUUGUUAGACGUGAGAAGAGGAAGGAGUAGGAGUUGGGGAUCAGGGAAGAGGGACUUGACAGACUUGCAUUUGCACCACUGUUUGCAGCACCAACUUUUUUUUUUUUUUAAUUGUAAGACACGCACGAUGUUCCGUUUACUGUCUUACCCGUGUUUAAGCGUCCAGUUCAGUAGUGCUAAGUAUAUUCACAUGAUUGUGCAACAGAUCUCUGGAACUUUUUCGUCUUGCGGCUCGGAAACUCUGUACCCACUAAACACGAACUAAAGCCUGCAUCCCUCUCCCCUCCUCCCAACGCUUGGUAACCACCUUUCUGUUUUCUGUUUCUAUGAUUUCGACUACUUUAGUGCUCUGUGGAAGUGGAAUCCUAGACUGUCAUUUUGCUUAUCGUAAUGCCUUUGAGGCUCGUCCACGUCAUACCGUAGCGGGCAUGGGAUUUCCUUCUUGUUUUAAGGCUGCAUAAUAUUCCACUUUAUGUGUAUGCCACGUUUCCUUUACCUGCUCACCCGCUGAUGGAGAUUUCGGUUGCUUCUGUCUCCUGGCUGUUGUGCAUCAAGCUGCAAUGAACUUAGAUGUGCAGUUAUGUCUUCGAGAUCCUGCUUUUUAAAUUUUUUUUUUUAACAUUUAUUUAUUUUUGAGACAGAGAGAGACAGAGCACGAACAGGGGAGGGUCAGAGAGAGAGGGAGACACAGAAUCCAAAACAGGCUCCAGGCUCUGAGCAGUCAGCACAGAGCCCGACGUGGGGCUCGAACCCACGGACCGUGAGAUCGUGACCUGAACUGAAGUCGGACGCUCAACCGACUGAGCCACCCAGGCGCCCCCCGAGAUCCUGCUUUAAGCCCUUUGGAUGUAUGCCCAAAGAUGGGACGCAUGGAAUGCAGCAACACUUUUUUUUUUCUUUUUUCUUUUUUUUUUUUUUACAGUGUGUGAGAAGUCUGGUACUUCUGUGCUGGGCUGAGGGAACUGGGCCUGUUAUGAAAAGCACCCUUUUCUGAGGAAACCUUGGGUGGGCCAUAGGCUCUUUUAUCUAGGGGUGGCCAAACUUAUACCUCAGUUGAGGUGUAGUAAGCUUCCUGUUUCACACAGUAUGAGCUAAAAGCAUGGCAGUUGGUCCUAGAAAAGUAGCUUCCUUCCUUCACAUAGGUCAGUCAAGGGAAGAGGUACCCCUGAUGUGGCUACCAGAGAACCCAAAGAAAUUCUGUAAAUCUGACUUGAGCUGCGUGCACUCACGCCAAGGAAGGUAGAGGGGCAAGGAGGCACGGGGUUAUUGGGACGAACGGGAAGAGCCGUUUCAUUUUAUUACCAACUGUGAAAAGUUGCCCUUUCGUGUGGUUCUCCCAGCGCAGCGCAGUGUUAAAUGAAGCCCCCUAGGGUGUGGGGGUUUACAAAUGGCAUAUUUUUCUCUGUGACUGUGACUUUAGAAAAAGCGCUGGUGUUUGUUUUCAGGCAGAGUCUGGCCCUGCUGUAUUCGUUGUUAGAUGUGUGUCAGAAACCAAUCUCUGUGUGUAUUUGUUGCCGAGAAUGAAUGUGAGUACACUCAGGGUUCCCAGGCCAAAAGGGGCCCCGCUGAAAAACUAAUCCCUGCCACACCUAGUAUUUGGGGAGUGGAAGAGUAGGCUGAAUUAGCAAGAAGUUGGGAUUAUGGCCCAUUGAACAGAAAACACAUUCUUAUUUAUUUCUCAACAUACAGGAACCAGACUGAUAAAGCGUUGUUCACUGGGGCGUCUCAGGAUGAGCCCCAGCGAACAGGCAAAAAUGACGUGUGUUCCACAUCACCUGUUGGUUAGAAAUGAGUGCUACUGUGUGCUCGAAACUGUUCUUUCAGUGUCGAAAUGGUACCACAAAUAUAUCAUUUGCCUGAUAAGCCUUUCUUCUGAGGUAGUGAAAAUGUACAGUUUAUCUGGUCUUUGUCUAAAUGAGCUGGAAUUUUCAGACUGUGGGAGGAUGGUGGGGGUGUUGAGUGAGGAAGGCAUUAGCCCGAGUUUGGUAAGCGUGGACUCCCAGAUGAUCAUGGCUGCGUCUGGGUCCUGUGGACUAUGCUUAUGGAAAACUGGGGAACACUUGCAUUUUGGAGCUUUCCCAAUUCUGUGAUUAAAGGUGUCUGUCAGCUGUUUUAGUGGUCAUUGCUCCUACCUUUUCUCCCCUUCCUCCUCCUUCAUCACCACCACCACCACCACCACCACCAACGUCGUGUAUGGAAUACCCCUGUGUGCUGGUCUGUGUGCUAAGGGCUUUACCUACAUUAUUUUGCUUACUCUUCACAACUCUCUCGAGGAGAGAGAUUCUGAAAGAUUCUGAAGCCCGGAGUGUUUAAGCCAUGGAUUGGUCCAAGAGCUCACCUGCCAUAGGUGGUAAAGCUAGGGCCUAUAGUUCCAAAGCAUUUUCCAUGACUGUUCUUGGGUGCGGCCAUCUUUAUGAAGAGAAGUAGGAAAUCGAGAGUGACGGGGGAUGGUGGAGGCUCCCAUGAGCUGGGAUGAAGGGCAGGAAUGGGGCUGCAGAGAUGUUUAUGAGGCCCCAAGUUCCCUUCCCAUUCUGGGUUCCCCGAAGGUGGAUUUCUCCUCACUGUUCCUCUCACGGUGUGGAGAGCUAGAUGGCCACACUGUGCAAACCAUCUUCGAAUCAAUGUCCAGAUCUUCCAUUUUUAUUCCAAUCUCUGGUAUUCUCUAGCGAUGUUUUGUCUUUCGACGGGUUUCAUUUUGGGCCCUUUAUGUUGUCAGAAACCUUUCUUUUCCCUCUCUGCCUUUUUCUUCUUUCCCCUGGCACCUAAUUUCGCCUGAAUGUGGGCGACAGGCCGUGCGGUGUCCUCUCAUCCUGUCCAGCGUCUGGGUUGGAUGCCUUUGUCUGCGUUACUCUCUGGUCAGUCUCUUUUCCUUCCACAGCUUUUUUUUUUUUUCCCCUCCCUUGAAACUCUUUAUACUAUCGAUCAACGUAAAAUUUUUCUUUAACCCAUCCCUCAUGUACAUCCUCAAUACUGUAUGAUUUCUAGGAAUCUGUUUGAGAUCUUUUCGGAUAUUCCCUGAUUAUCGCCUACCACCAAAGGAAUCAUCUUUUUUUUCCCCCUCCCUCUUUCCUGAUAGCCUGACCACACUGGCCUGGUUUAUUUUACUUGAGUGAAGAGAGGAUUUUGGCCAUCUGACUUCACAACAUUUUGGAUUUGAAUGGCUCUAACAAAGCCUGUCUACAGAGCAGAUGUGGGGAAGGAAGCAGAGAGAGAGAUGUGUGGAGGUAAUAAGAAGGAAUCUAAGAGCGCCCAAGCCAAAUUUCUCAUGAAACAGAUGAGGAAACUGAGUCCGUUGACAUUUAUUUAUUAAUUUAUUAAUAUUUUAUUGAGACAGAGCACAAGCAGGGGAGAGGCAGAGAGAGAGGGAGACACAGAAUCCGAAGCAGGCUCCAGGCUCCGAGCUGUCAGCACAGAGCCUGACAUGGGGCUUGAACCCACCAACUGUGAGAUCAUGAUCUGAGCCAAAGUUGUACGGUUAACCGACUCAGCCACCCAGGCACCCCUGAGUACUUUGGCAUUUAAAUAGCAUGCCUGAGAUCACAUUGUGCAUUGUACCUGAGCCAGAGUCAGAAUCAGGUGUUCUGUCCUCGGGCCAUGUCCCUCUAACACUGGCUGGGGAAAAGUGAUACAGAGCAGACAAGAAUUCAGAAAGUGAAGCUUUAUCACAAGGACUCCUAUAGAGUUAAACCCAUUUGUAUGGCACCCCACAAUGACUGAUGAUAUUAAUGAUCAUAAUUAUGACUUCCAAGUUAAAGACAAGCUUUAAGUUAUGAGAUUUAGGAAGUGAGAAAAUGUAAUGCAUUUUGGAAAGCUAUCCAACAAAAAUGUUUGGCAUAAAAAUAAUGUGAAGUUUUAAAAGGCUACGCUUCAGUUGUCUGGAUGAAUGACUUAUGAAAAAUAUGUUAGUCCCCAGUGAAGACAGGAAGGAGCUAUCCAAUAAAUCUGUAUGCUCACCAGACCUGUGUACUCCUUGGGGGUAUUUUCCCUUUGUGUGUGGGAGUCAGACAUACGGAAAACGAUCUCAUUUCCUGAAUGACCUGAGAAGGACGCAUCACCCCGCCAGCACUAGCACUAAGGGUGAGCGUGCACAAUGAUGUAAGUGUCGCCACAGUGUAGUUCCAGUCACCUCUACUUCAGAUUUUGAUUCGUAUUUUAUUCUGUCUGGUGUUCUUUGGUUCUCAGCUAUAAAGUCGAUUUCCCUUAAGAGGAUUGUAAGUUGCUGGGAAGAGGGGGCCAGUCAUUGCCUUACCGCUGAGUCCUCCUCGGGGAAGACCACAGACACGGGAGUGGACCGACAGGAGUGUGAAUCCUGGUCCUUGAACUUGAAUUUAUUAAUCUUCAUCUUCAACCUGUGAACUCAUCUGAAGUGCUAAUAAAGAUACGUGUCUCUUGGGAUAUGUCAAUUUCAUAAUGCAGCAACUUUGUUAAAGAAAAAAAAAAGGUAGUUCUCUCUCCCUUUAUGUAUCCUCCACAAUAUCUAGAUCUGGAAGGAGCUAGAGAUUUUCUAGAGCGUGCCUACGUGAUACAGUUGGUGCAGCGGCCAGAGAUGUUGACGGUUUGCUCACGUGGCUGGUAGGUGGCACCUUCCAGAACCAAAGAUCUAGGUCUCCCCAGUUGGCCGACUCCCAGCCAGCGUCCUUGCCACUGUCCCACUGGUUUCUCCUAGGGCUGGGGUCACUCAGUCCUGGUUGAGCAAAGCUCAUAGUUUAACUUUAAUUGAAUGCAAGCCUUGACAAUAGGACAGAUGAGCCAGCUGCGGUUACAUGAUAAUAACCAAGGCCUUUGGCAUCUUCCAGUAAAGUUUUGAGGGAAUGGCUAGUACGGUUCUGAAUAAGUUUCAAAGAUAAAAAGAAAAGGAGAAAAAAACAACAACCCUAAGCCUGGAAGUACUGUGCAGUGACUCUAACUAGCAUUAUUACUCAGCACUCAAGUAUUUGAACCUACUCAGGGAUCCGCUGGUUCACACAGUUGCUUAUUAUUUGCGGCUGGGGCGAGACUUGAACGAGGGCAUCGGUUCUUUAGUCUGCUUUUGUUGAACAGGCAGUUCCACGUCUGUCUGACCACAGAGCAGACACUGUUUGCUGCGGGGUGGUGAAUUUCCAGUUUCAAGAGCCGGGAGUAUAUAUGGCUCUUGGUGGAAGUUUAUACAGAAGAGUCUGAGAAAGCCAAAUUUGUUACUUUGGGCCAUGAGGGAGCCUUUGUUUUUAGACGUUCAGGGACCGACGUAUCUGUUUUCAGCAGCUUUGUUCUCUUUGCCGUGGACUUGAAAUGCUUUCCUGAGUUUUCCUCUGCGUGUCCACGUUCAAUGACAAGAUGAAAUGAAUGACCCUUUUGGAGGCACAGUGGGGAGAAUGUUGGCUCCUUGUCUGCUGACCCCACGCGGCGGGCAUGGGUGCUUUCGGGCUAUUGGAAAAAGAGCAUAGGUUUGGAAAGAAACCGUUCCUCUGCACUCUUCCUUGGAAAACACAAGUGAAAGCUGGAUAUUUUCUUCUCAGCUGCCUUGUCCCCUCCCCAGUGGGUUAUGACGGGCCAUGUAACUUUAUCUUUCUGGAGACUUAUCUGUGUAACAGGCAGUAACCCCUGCUCCACUGACAUCCCCUAUAUGUGAGGAAGCAGUAACCAAAGAUGAGAUGCUGACUCUAAACUAUUUCCUGGAAGAAAGGAGCUGCAGAUACAAAUCAGGCUGGUAAUUAAAAAAAAAAAAAAAAAAAAUGAAGCCCCAAAGAACAGCCUGUUUGUCUCUGAAGUUACCCAUUUCUCUAACACCUUUCCUUGUCCCCUAGUGAAAGUGUGGGUCCGGGUGUGGCCCUGGUGACAGCGUUGGGAGAUGGGAAAGAAAGGAGAGGGCUCAGAUCUGCCCGCCUGGCCACUGGUGUGGCCAGAGCAGUGCUGGGCUCCCUGAUGGAGAAUCCAGGUCAAGGGACAAUUUAGAGUUUGUGUCAUCCAAAGCCUACUAAUUAAUACUCAGAUCAAUACAUCUGCACUGGGGUGGGCAAGAGGGAAUGUCACAGAGACUUGAUAGAAAGGGGGGUGGGACUUUGCUGAGCUCUUUUCUGGAUUGUUCUGAGGAGCUCAGCCAAGGGAAGGGGACUUUUCUCCACCUUAGUUCCUUCAUUAUUCACUGUUGCUUCAAGACCAUUUGUCUUUCCCACAGUGUCCUUGACCAUCGAAUCAGAGUCUCCUGCCAGAGGAGAACCACAUAAGAGAGUCUUCUGACUCACCAUAUGGUCUAGCUGUGUCUUUUCACGUAUAGGCAGACUUGUGAUCACAGGUGGGGCCCCCAAGGGGACAGAAGUGGAUUCUCUUUCCUCUGGGCCCGUGUGUGUCCUUGUGCCCAGCUUCCUGACACAGAGUUGGUACACCCUCGUUUUGGGAGAUGGAAAAUCGGAAGGAUUGGACCCCUGGUGCAUCUUGUAGUCGCUGUGUCCUCCUUUUGACCUGAGAUGUGGGAGGUUUCAGAUCUGUGUCAUGAGGUCACAUGACUGGUACUUUGCACUGUUGAGACCCAUGGCUCUCCUCACUCGUGGGUCUUGACAUUAAUGGCCAGUGAUGGGUGGGUACAGCAGGUCAGGAGUCCCUCUCACUUGGUGCCUUUGAUGUGGUCUGUGUUCGAAGUGAGGUGAACGAGGUGGGGAGAGCUGUCAUUUGGGACUGAAAUAUGAGUCACAUAGGAUCUUGGUCUGGGGGUGUCCUCUUCCCCCUGACCAGGAGGCCUGAAUGACCCAAGGUGGCUGACUACAUCCCAGAUUCCCUGGAAAACUGCUAGCUCUUUAUUUGACUUUGUGCCAUUUAGUCCUUCCCUUAGUCUGCUGACUUGAAUACUUUAGGAUGAGGUGGAAGGAGAGACCUUAUGAGUCGAAAAGGUAAGAGUUUUUACCCUCCCAGGGCACUUGGGUUGGGUGGCUCCAUUGGUUAAGUGUCUGACUUCGCCUCAGGUCAUGAUCUCACGGUUCAUGAGUUCGAGCCCCACAUCAGGCUCUCAGCUGUCAGCGCAUGGAACUCCGCUUGAGAUCCUCUGUCCUUCUCUCUGCCCUUCCCCUGCUUGCUCACUCUCUCUCUCUCUCUCUC